GGGGGCGAAACGGCUUCGACGGGGAUAAAGAAACAUGGGUUGCAUACCGAGCUUCUGCCAGCUCGUAAAAACGGCGGAAACUAAAAUAAUCGCAGACGAUUAUAAUUACGCUCUAGCCGCUUAGUACCGGCUAGCGUCCUGCCGGGUUUUCCUGCGAAUCCGGGUCAGGGCGUCGACUAGCAGGAUAGCCUUUUGCGGUUGCUUGUUACGCACGAGGCGAAACUCUUAACAAGAUAGCUUCUCAAGAAUCCUGCCUGAAGGAGCCUUGAGAGACGAAACUCAAAAUUCAGGCUAUGUAUGUAGAUGCCUGUGUGGAAUAUUGUCGGACGCGGGUUCGACUCCCGCCGCCUCCACCA
rnacentral:tmRNA from 1 species